rnacentral:rRNA from 1 species
GAUGAACGCUGGCGGCGUGCCUAAUACAUGCAAGUCGAGCGAAUGGAUUGAGAGCUUGCUCUUAUGAAGUUAGCGGCGGACGGGUGAGUAACACGUGGGUAACCUGCCCAUAAGACUGGGAUAACUCCGGGAAACCGGGGCUAAUACCGGAUAACAUUUUGAACCGCAUGGUUCGAAAUUGAAAGGCGGCUUCGGCUGUCACUUAUGGAUGGACCCGCGUCGCGUUAGCUAGUUGGUGAGGUAACGGCUCACCAAGGCAACGAUGCGUAGCCGACCUGAGAGGGUGAUCGGCCACACUGGGACUGAGACACGGCCCAGACUCCUACGGGAGGCAGCAGUAGGGAAUCUUCCGCAAUGAACGAAAGUCUGACGGAGCAACGCCGCGUGAGUGAUGAAGGCUUUCGGGUCGUAAAACUCUGUUGUUAGGGAAGAACAAGUGCUAGUUGAAUAAGCUGGCACCUUGACGGUACCUAACCAGAAAGCCACGGCUAACUACGUGCCAGCCGCCGCGGUAA